rnacentral:tRNA from 1 species
AGUUAAUGAACUUGUUAAAGUAUGUGUCUUGAAAAUACAAAAAAGAGUAAAGUCUCUAUUAACUU